UACGAAGGGGGCUAGCGUUGCUCGGAAUUACUGGGCGUAAAGGGCGCGUAGGCGGGUCAUUAAGUUGGGGGUGAAAGCCCAGGGCUCAACCCUGGAAUUGCCUUCAAUACUGGCGACCUUGAGUAUGGCAGAGGUGUGUGGAACUCCGAGUGUAGAGGUGAAAUUCGUAGAUAUUCGCAAGAACACCAGUGGCGAAGGCGGCUCACUGGCCCGGAACUGACGCUGAGACGCGAAAGCGUGGGGAGCAAACAGG
rnacentral:rRNA from 1 species